rnacentral:rRNA from 1 species
UGAACGCUGGCGGCAGGCCUAACACAUGCAAGUCGAGCGGAAACGAAGAGUAGCUUGCUACUCUGGCGUCGAGCGGCGGACGGGUGAGUAAUGCUUGGGAACAUGCCUUGAGGUGGGGGACAACAGUUGGAAACGACUGCUAAUACCGCAUAAUGUCUACGGACCAAAGGGGGCUUCGGCUCUCGCCUUUAGAUUGGCCCAAGUGGGAUUAGCUAGUUGGUGAGGUAAUGGCUCACCAAGGCGACGAUCCCUAGCUGGUUUGAGAGGAUGAUCAGCCACACUGGGACUGAGACACGGCCCAGACUCCUACGGGAGGCAGCAGUGGGGAAUAUUGCACAAUGGGCGCAAGCCUGAUGCAGCCAUGCCGCGUGUGUGAAGAAGGCCUUCGGGUUGUAAAGCACUUUCAGUCAGGAGGAAAGGUUAGUAGUUAAUACCUGCUAGCUGUGACGUUACUGACAGAAGAAGCACCGGCUAACUCCGUG